rnacentral:rRNA from 1 species
AGCAGCCGCGGUAAUUCCAGCUCCAAUAGCGUAUAUUAAAGUUGUUGCAGUUAAAAAGCUCGUAGUUGAAUUUCGGGGUUAGUAGGUUGGUCAUGCCUCUGGUAUGUACUGGUCUCACUGAUUCCUCCUUCCUGAUGAACCGUAAUGCCAUUAAUUUGGUGCUGCGGGGAAUUUGGACUGUUACUUUGAAAAAAUUAGAGUGUUUAAAGCAAGCUAACGCUUGAAUACAUUAGCAUGGAAUAAUGAAAUAGGACGUUCGAUCCUAUUUUGUUGGUUUCUAGGAUUGACGUAAUGAUUAAUAGGGAUAGUUGGGGGCAUUAGUAUUCAAUUGUCAGAGGUGAAAUUCUUGGAUUUAUUGAAGACUAACUACUGCGAAAGCAUUUGCCAAGGAUGUUUUCAUUAAUCAAGAACGAAAGUUAGGGGAUCGAAGACGAUCAGAUACCGUCGUAG